UACGGAGGGUGCGAGCGUUAUCCGGAUUCACUGGGUUUAAAGGGUGCGUAGGUGGGAAUGUAAGUCAGUGGUGAAAUCUCUGAGCUUAACUCAGAAACUGCCAUUGAUACUAUGUUUCUUGAAUUUUCUGGAGGUCAGCGGAAUAUGUCAUGUAGCGGUGAAAUGCUUAGAUAUGACAUAGAACACCAAUUGCGAAGGCAGCUCACUACGGAUACAUUGACACUGAGGCACGAAAGCGUGGGGAUCAAACAGG
rnacentral:rRNA from 1 species